UGGGGAAUAUUGGACAAUGGGCGCAAGCCUGAUCCAGCCAUGCCGCGUGGGUGAUGAAGGCCUUAGGGUUGUAAAGCCCUUUCGGCGGGGAAGCUAAUGACGGUACCCGCAGAAGAAGCCCCGGCUAACUUCGUGCCAGCAGCCGCGGUAAUACGAAGGGGGCUAGCGUUGCUCGGAAUCACUGGGCGUAAAGCGCACGUAGGCGGGUCCUUAAGUCAGGGGUGAAAUCCUGGAGCUCAACUCCAGAACUGCCUUUGAUACUGAGGAUCUCGAGUUCGGGAGAGGUGAGUGGAACUGCGAGUGUAGAGGUGAAAUUCGUAGAUAUUCGCAAGAACACCAGUGGCGAAGGCGGCUCACUGGCCCGAUACUGACGCUGAGGUGCGAAAGCGUGGGGAGCAAAC
rnacentral:rRNA from 1 species